CAAUCACAUUUUUUUUGCAGCAAUCAUUUGCAUAUCUCUCGCCAUAGGAUUCUCAUAACUAUUUUUCUUCAGUAUAUAUUAAUUUAAAAUGUCUGCCUUUUCCUGGUCUUCAUUAGCUAACAGACCCAUCUGUUUCCAGUGUACCUACACGUUCAUGAAUUUAAUUUUUUUUUUAUUUAUUUUUUUUAGAAUUGAUCUACUUGAAAGUUUUUGGAGUUGGUUUUGGAUUCUUUGGCUAUCAAUUUCUCAUUUUCUAGUUUAGCCACUGUUCAGCCAUAAUUCACC